UACGGGGGGAGCAAGCGUUGUUCGGAUUUACUGGGCGUAAAGGGCGCGUAGGCGGCCAGCACAAGUCAGUUGUGAAAUCUCCGAGCUUAACUCGGAACGGUCAACUGAUACUGUGCGGCUAGAGUGCGGAAGGGGCAACUGGAAUUCUUGGUGUAGCGGUGAAAUGCGUAGAUAUCUGGAGGAACACCGGUGGCGAAGGCGGCAUCCUGGACCGGUAUUGACGCUGAGGCGGCGAAAAGCUAGGGGAGCAAACGGG
rnacentral:rRNA from 1 species